UACGUAGGGCGCGAGCGUUGUCCGGAAUUAUUGGGCGUAAAGAGCUCGUAGGCGGCUUGUCACGUCGGGUGUGAAAGCCCGGGGCUUAACCCCGGGUCUGCAUUCGAUACGGGCUAGCUAGAGUGUGGUAGGGGAGAUCGGAAUUCCUGGUGUAGCGGUGAAAUGCGCAGAUAUCAGGAGGAACACCAAUGGCGAAGGCAGAUCUCUGGGCCGUAACUGACGCUGAGGAGCGAAAGCAUGGGGAGCGAACAGG
rnacentral:rRNA from 1 species